rnacentral:rRNA from 1 species
AUUGAACGCCGGCGGCAUGCCUUACACAUGCAAGUCGAACGGCAGCACGGGAGCAAUCCUGGUGGCGAGUGGCGAACGGGUGAGUAAAGUAUCGGAACGUGCCCAGUCGUGGGGGAUAACGUAGCGAAAGCUACGCUAAUACCGCAUACGAUCUAUGGAUGAAAGCGGGGGACCGCAAGGCCUCGCGCGAUUGGAGCGGCCGAUAUCAGAUUAGGUAGUUGGUGGGGUAAAGGCCCACCAAGCCGACGAUCUGUAGCUGGUCUGAGAGGACGACCAGCCACACUGGGACUGAGACACGGCCCAGACUCCUACGGGAGGCAGCAGUGGGGAAUUUUGGACAAUGGGCGCAAGCCUGAUCCAGCAAUGCCGCGUGCAGGAUGAAGGCCUUCGGGUUGUAAACUGCUUUUGUACGGAGCGAAAAGGCUCUCACUAAUACUGGGGGCUCAUGACGGUACCGUAAGAAUAAGCACCGGCUAACUACGUGCCAGCAGCCGCUGUAA